UACGGGGGGGGUAAGCGUUGUUCGGAAUUACUGGGCGUAAAGGGCUCGUAGGCGGCCAACUAAGUCAGACGUGAAAUCCCUCAGCUUAACUGGGGAACUGCGUCUGAUACUGGAUGGCUUGGAUCCGGGAGAGGGAUGCGGAAUUCCAGGUGUAGCGGUGAAAUGCGUAGAUAUCUGGAGGAACACCGGUGGCGAAGGCGGCAUCCUGGACCAAUACUGACGCUGAGGAGCGAAAGCCAGGGGAGCAAACGGG
rnacentral:rRNA from 1 species